UAAAAGGGCUUCUGUUGUGAGCGGUACACGUAGAGUGAGUCUGUUUGCUCUUCAUGUGGAAUCGAUAUCAAGAGAUUUCAGAAGCAUCAAUUUUUUUAAAAAAAAAUAAAAGGCUAAUAGAAAUAUUCUUUUUAA
rnacentral:snRNA from 1 species